rnacentral:tRNA from 1 species
UUAAUGGUAGAGUAAUCGGCUUUUAACCGAUUUGUUUUGGAUUCGAGUCCC